rnacentral:SRP_RNA from 1 species
GCUGGGCGUGGUGGUGCACGCCUGUAAUCCCAGCCACUCAGGAGGCUGAGGCAGGAGAAUCACUUGAACCCAGGAGGCAGAGGUUGCAGUGAGCUGACAUGAAGCCACGGCACUCCACCCUGGGUGACAGAGGGAGACUCUGUCUCAA